CUGCAGCCAAUUAAGCCAACUGGGUGCCUUUGCUGGUGGGUGCCCAGUGUGCAUGGCUGCAGACAGCAACCUCCAAGCAAACUCCUCGGUGGUGUAGGCAGCCUGGUGCUUGUACAGCCUGCCUUAAAGGACCCUGGAGACUCUG
ensembl:snoRNA SNORA70 Small nucleolar RNA SNORA70